rnacentral:snRNA from 1 species
GUGCUCGCUUCGGCAGCACAUGCACUAAAAUUGGAACGAUACAGAGAAGAUUAGCAUGGCUCCUGUGCAAGGAAUGACAUGCAAAUUCGUGAAGCGUUCCAUAUUUAA